AUUGAACGCUGGCGGCAGGCCUAACACAUGCAAGUCGAGCGGUGCGGCGGACGGGCGAGUAAUACCUAGGAAUCUGCCUGGCAGUGGGGGAUAACGUUCGGAAACGGACGCUAAUACCGCAUACUAUCAGAUGAGACUAGGUCGGAUUAACUAGUUGGUGAGGUAAUGGCGCACCAAGGCAACUAUCCGUAACUGGUCUGAGAGGAUGAUCAGUCACACUGGAACUGAGACACGGUCCAGACUCCGACGGGAGGCAGCAGUGGGGAAUAUUGGACAAUGGGCGAAAGCCUGAUCCAGCCAUGCCGCGUGUGUGAAGAAGGUCUUCGGAUUGUAAAGCACUUUAAGUUGGGAGGCGUUACCGACAGACUAAGCACCGGCUAACUCUGUGCCAGCAGCCGCGGUAAUUC
rnacentral:rRNA from 1 species